rnacentral:tRNA from 1 species
GCGGUCAUAGCUCAAUGGUAGAGCACCGGGUUGUGGUCCCGGCCACACGGGUUCAAUUCCCGUUGAUCGCCCCA